rnacentral:tRNA from 2 species
UGGGGUAUCGCCAAGCGGUAAGGCACCGUUUUUUGAUACCGGCAUUCCCUGGUUCGAAUCCAGGUACCCCAGCCA